GCCGGGCAUCGAGGCAUGUGUCUGUAGUCCCAGCUACUUGGAAAGCUGAGGCAAGGAGAACUGCUCGAGCCCAGGAGCUCUGGGCUGUGGUGCGCUGUGCUGGUUGGUUGUCUGCACUAAGUUUGGCAUCAAUAUGGUGACCUCCUGGGAGCCAGAUUGCCUGAGGAGGGGUGAACCAGCCCAGAUUGUAAACAGAGCAGGUCCAAGCCCCCAUGCUAAUCAGUGAUGGGAUUAUGUCUGUGACUAGUUACUGCACUCCAGCUUGGGCAAUACAGUGAGACCCUAUCUCU
ensembl:misc_RNA Metazoa_SRP Metazoan signal recognition particle RNA